rnacentral:tRNA from 1 species
GCGUCCGUAGUCUAGUGGUAGGACAUGAGCUUCCCAAGCUUAAGAUCCGGGUUCAAUCGCGCUGAAAUCCUAUGUAUUUCGCAGGGUUUCUGCUGAAACUCCCGGCGGGCGCA